ACCUGGCUGGCUCAGUUGGUAGAGCGUGCGACUCUUGAUCUCGGGGUUGUGAGUUUAAGCUCAGCGCUGGGUG
rfam:Ailuropoda melanoleuca scaffold75_67, whole genome shotgun sequence.